GUGCUCGCUUCGGCAGCACAUAUAAUAAAAGUGGAAUGAUACAGAGAAGAUUAGCAUGGCCCCUGUGCAAGGAAUAAAAAUUGGAAAGGAAGAAGUCAAAAUAUCA